AUUGAACGCUGGCGGCAGGCCUAACACAUGCAAGUCGAACGGUAACAGGAAGAAGCUUGCUUCUUUGCUGACGAGUGGCGGACGGGUGAGUAAUGUCUGGGAAACUGCCUGAUGGAGGGGGAUAACUACUGGAAACGGUAGCUAAGACCGCAUAACGUCGCAAGACCAAAGAGGGGGACCUUCGGGCCCCUUGCCAUAGGAUGUGCCCAGAUGGGAGUCGCGAGUAGGUGGGGUAACGGGUCACCUAGGCGACGAUCCCUAGCUGGUCUGAGAGGAUGACCUGCCUCACUGGAACUGAGACACGGUCCAGACUCCUACGAGAGGCCUCUGCCUGCACUACUGCCCUACGGUCGCGAGUUUGAUCCUGCCACACCGCGUGUAUGCAGAAGACGUUCGGGCUGGUUAGUGCUUUCCGCAGGCGGGAAGGGACUAAGGUUUAGACGUUUUCACAUUGACCUUACCCACAGAAGAAGCCCCCGCUAACUCCGUU
rnacentral:rRNA from 1 species